GACGAACGCUGGCUGCGUGCUUAACACAUGCAAGUCGCACGGAAAGGCCCUGCUUUUGUGGGGUGCUCGAUUGGCGAACGGGUGAGUAACACUUGAGUAACCUGCCCUUGCCUUUGGGAUAACUUCAGGAAACUGGGGCUAAUACCGGUUAGGUGCUCCUUCUGCAUGGUGGGUGUUGGAAAGUUUCGGCGGUUGGGGAUGGACUCGCGGCUUAUCAUCUUGUUGGUGGGGUAGUGGCUUACCAAGGCUUUGACGGGUAGCCGGCCUGAGAGGGUGACCGGCAAAAUUGGGACUGAGAUACGGCCCAGAGUACUACGGGAGGCAGCAGUGGGGAAGAAUGCACAAUGGGCGGAAGCAUGAUGCAGCAACGCCGCGUGAGGGAUGACGGACUUCGGGUUGGAAACCGCUUUCGCCUGUGACGAAGCGUGAGUGAAGGUAAUGGGUAAAGAAGCACCGGCUAACUACGUG
rnacentral:rRNA from 1 species